rnacentral:misc_RNA from 1 species
GGCAUGGUUUCCAGCUUACUUGAUCCUGGCUUCGGCAUUGUGGAUUUUCUGGCAUUAGGCAGGGCAGGUAUCAAAAUAGUGAUUCUCUGCUUUUUAACAAUAACCCAACUAUCUUCUCCAUCCAAAUCCAUAUCACUCAGAGAGCCAUCCUGACUCGUCAGUGGUCUUUGUUUUGGUUUUCCCAUUAGGUGUGGACCAAUUAUGGAGGUCCGAAUCCAAGCAGGGGAAAUGGAGCCAGUAGGUGAAGGAGGAGGGAGAGAAGUUAAAAAGAG